rnacentral:rRNA from 1 species
CUAACUACGUGCCAGCAGCCGCGGUAAUACGUAGGUGGCAAGCGUUAUCCGGAAUUAUUGGGCGUAAAGAGGGAGCAGGCGGCAGCAAGGGUCUGUGGUGAAAGCCUGAAGCUUAACUUCAGUAAGCCAUAGAAACCAGGCAGCUAGAGUGCAGGAGAGGAUCGUGGAAUUCCAUGUGUAGCGGUGAAAUGCGUAGAUAUAUGGAGGAACACCAGUGGCGAAGGCGACGAUCUGGGCUGCAACUGACGCUCAGUCCCGAAAGCGUGGGGAGCAAAUAGGAUUAGAUACCCUAGUAGUCCACGCCGUAAACGAUGAGUACUAAGUGUUGGGGGUCAAACCUCAGUGCUGCAGUUAACGCAAUAAGUACUCCGCCUGAGUAGUACGUUCGCAAGAAUGAAACUCAAAGGAAUUGACGGGGGCCCGCACAAGCGGUGGAGCAUGUGGUUUAAUUCGAAGCAACGCGAAGAACCUUACCAGGUCUUGACAUCCCGAUGACCGGCCCGUAACGGGGCCUUCUCUUCGGAGCAUUGGAGACAGGUGGUGCAUGGUUGUCGUCAGCUCGUGUCGUGAGAUGUUGGGUUAAGUCCCGCAACGAGCGCAACCCUUGUCGCUAGUUACCAUCAUUAAGUUGGGGACUCUAGCGAGACUGCCAGUGACAAGCUGGAGGAAGGCGGGGAUGACGUCAAAUCAUCAUGCCCCUUAUGACCUGGGCUACACACGUGCUACAAUGGAUGGUGCAGAGGGAAGCGAAGCCGCGAGGUGAAGCAAAACCCAUAAAACCAUUCUCAGUUCGGAUUGUAGUCUGCAACUCGACUACAUGAAGUUGGAAUCGCUAGUAAUCGCGAAUCAGCAUGUCGCGGUGAAUACGUUCUCGGGCCUUGUACACACCGCCCGUCACACCAUGAGAGUUGAUAACACCCGAAGCCGGUGGCCUAACCGCAAGGAGGGAGCUGUCUAAGGUGGGAUUGAUGAUUGGGGUGAAGUCGUAACAAGGUAUCCCUACGGGAACGUGGGGAUG